UACGUAGGGUGCAAGCGUUGUCCGGAAUUAUUGGGCGUAAAGGGCUCGUAGGCGGUUUGUCGCGUCGGGAGUGAAAUCCACUGGCUUAACUGGUGGCUUGCUUUCGAUACGGGCAGACUGGAGGUAUGCAGGGGAGAACGGAAUUCCGGGGUGUAGCGGUGGAAUGCGUAGAGAUCCGGAAGACACCGGUGCGAAGGCGGUCUGCUGGGCCAAGACUGACGCUGAGGCGCGACAGCGUGGGGAGC
rnacentral:rRNA from 1 species